UACGGGGGGGGGCAAGCGUUGUUCGGAAUUACUGGGCGUAAAGGGCGCGUAGGCGGUUCGUUAAGUUGGAUGUGAAAACUCUGGGCUCAACCCAGAGCCUGCAUCCAAAACUGGCGGGCUAGAGUUCUGGAGGGGGUAGCGGAAUUCCUGGUGUAGCGGUGAAAUGCGUAGAUAUCUGGAGGAACACCAGUGGCGAAAGCGGCUUCCUGGUCCAGCACCGACGUUCAGGCACGAAAGCGUGGGGAGCAAACAGG
rnacentral:rRNA from 1 species